GAAGUAUGAUUUGAUUCCAUACCAAAUUACCUAUAUGAUGCAUAUCGAUGGAACUAUUGAUAAUGUUUACGUAGGGCGAAUGGGUUCCUACACUGACACUUCAAUAAUACUAAUGUGUCCAGUACCAGAGAUGAAACCAAAAUAUUUUAAUAUAUUUAAACCGUUCUCAUUCUACAUCUGGAUGGGACUGAUUGUAGCAAUACUGGGGAGUUCUAUCGUCUUCCAUCUGUUUCAAGUUUACAGGAAU